rnacentral:tRNA from 1 species
GGUCAUAGUUCAGUGGUAGAACAUUUGCCUCUCACAUGUGAGGCACUGGGUUUGAUUCCCAGCACCA